UCUGCCUCAGACUGCGCCAGCUGAUCUUCAAGAAUACUUUUGGCAGAUUUUAGCGUGGCAACUUCUCCUUCCAGCAUCUCAAUACUCGACCUGAGUGUGGUCUCAAUAUUCUCUCCGUUCUUCUUACUGUCCUCCUUCAAAGCCUGCAGCUCCGCUUCUGCAGCAUGAAUUUUCUGCUUCAAAUCAUUCUCAUUCGCCUCAGCAUCACGAACCGUGUCUUCAAGGGAACUUUUGAAAGACGUUAACGCCGCAACUUGCUGUUCCAGCUUCUCAAUAUUCGACCUGAGUGAGGUCUCCACAUCCUCACCGUUUUCCUUAAUAUCCUCCUUCAACGCCUGCAGCUCGGCUUCUGCAGCAUGCAUUUUCCGCUCCAUAUCAUUCUCAUUCGCCU
rnacentral:lncRNA from 1 species